AGCUUGCUCUCUGGUGGCGUGUGGCGAACGGGUGAGUAAUAUAUCGGAACGUGUCUAAUAAUGGGGGAUAACUAGUCGAAAGAUUAGCUAAUACCGCAUACGCCCUGAGGGGGAAAGUGGGGGAUCUUCGGACCUCACGUUAAUGGAGCGGCCGAUACCUGAUUAGCUAGUUGGUAGGGUAAAAGCCUACCAAGGCGACGAUCAGUAGCUGGUCUGAGAGGAUGAUCAGCCACACUGGGACUGAGACACGGCCCAGACUCCUACGGGAGGCAGCAGUGGGGAAUUUUGGACAAUGGGCGCAAGCCUGAUCCAGCCAUGCCGCGUGAGUGAAGAAGGCCUUCGGGUUGUAAAGCUCUUUCGCAAGGAAAGAAAACUUACAUGUAAAUAAUGUGUGAGGUUGACGGUACCUUGAUAAGAAGCACCGGCUAACUACGUGCCAGCAGCCGCGGUAAUACGUAGGGUGCAAGCGUUAAUCGGAAUUACUGGGCGUAAAGCGAGCGCAGGCGGUUUUGUAAGUCAGAUGUGAAAGCCCCGGGCUCAACCUGGGAACUGCGUUUGAAACUACAAGGCUAGAGUAUGGGAGAGGGGGGUAGAAUUCCACGUGUAGCAGUGAAAUGCGUAGAGAUGUGGAGGAAUACCAAUGGCGAAGGCACCCCCUGGCCUAAUACUGACGCUCAGCUCAAAGCGUGGGGA
rnacentral:rRNA from 1 species